GUGCGAGACCGAUAGCGAACAAGUACCGUGAGGGAAAGAUGAAAAGAACUUUGAAAAGAGAGUUAAAGAGUACCUGAAACUGCUGAAAGGGAACCGAAUCGUUUCCAGUGUCUAUAAUCCAUGGCAUAUUUCAUUGGCGAGUGAGUGCGUGCAGCGUUUUGGAAGUGGUCUCCGCUCCUGUCGUUGUUGUGCAUUUGCUUGCUGGUGCCCUGUGCUGUGGUGGGACGUCAGAGUCAGUUUGUAUGUUGCGGGAAAUGGUUGUCGGGGAGGUAGGUCACUUCGGUGGCUGUUAUAUCCUGGUAACUAGUCGUCGUGGCUGAGACUGAGGUGCCUAC
rnacentral:rRNA from 2 species